rnacentral:lncRNA from 1 species
CUACCCUAAAAAAUAGGAUAUAUUAAUUUCCCCCCUAAAAACUUGUCUUAAUAUUUUCUCUUCACCAAUUUAAUACCAUUAAUGUCUAACCUCCUCCUCCUUUAAAGCAUUUUUUAGAAAACUUUCUCUUCCCUAUCCUCCUGCCCUCUUUCUCUCUCCCUUUCUCCAUAGUUCACACUUCUUUCACCUCCUUAACAUAUUUGGUAGUUCUUUUGUUAGUUAUUUUGUAUAAAUGUAUUUGUAUUUCAUUGUUUUUUCUUCUAUUUCAAUCUCAAACAAUGUCAAGAAUUUCAGUAUUUUUUUUCUAUUUUAACCUCAAACAAUGUCAAAAUUUUCAUUGUUUUUUCUUCUAUUUCCAUUCAAAGACAAGUGAAGUUAUACACAUGAAAUAGGAUGCAAACUUACACCCUUAUCUGGAUUGAUCUUGUCAUUACAAAAGACAAUAAAGUUGAUGAUACAUUAGAAAAUUCUUCGUUAAUUUCAUUUUCAAAGACCAAGAAUUGGUUUCACCACAUGUACCAUCAUCAUAGCAGUUCUAUUUAUUCCUUCAUAUGCAUCAACCCUCUUACAACAUGUAUAGUGUAACACAAUUCUAUUUAGAGUAUAAUAUGUAUCAGAUACAUGGAUAUAAUAAAUGAAAUUAAACAUUUAUCCGAUACAAAUUCAUAUUUUAUAUCUAUUAUUUUUUUCAUUAAAACAAUGUGAUGUAUUUACACCGAAAUGCAUAAUUAUGUACUGAAGAUACAUAAUAUAUCUUAGUUCUAAAUGUCUGAUACAAAUGCAUAUGUUGUAUCUCUUAUAUUCAUAUUUUUUUUUAUUGAAAAUAGUAUAAUGUAAUGUAUUUACGCUAAGAUACAUAAUUAUGUAUGGAAGAUACAUAAUAUAUCUUAGUUCUCUUUGUCUGAUUCAAAUGCAUAUUUUGUAUCUAUUAUAAUUAUAUUUUUUUAUUGGAAAAACUAUGAUGUAAUGUAUUUACACUAAGAUACAUAGAUAACAAAAAAAUAACAAAUGAAAUUAAACAUUAGUAAUGUAUUUUAGAUAUUAAUGAGGUUAUGUAUCUCAACAGUUACAUACAAAAAUAAUGUUUAACAAAUGUUUUUACCCUUAAUGCAUAUGUUAGAUGAGUAUUAUAUCACCAACUCUAGUUAUGUGUCAAAUGCAUCUUAUCAUUUAUAAUAAGCAUCUCUAAUAUAACAUAUAUCUAUUGUUAUAUUGGAUUGAUUAAUAUAAAUAAUAAUUGUUGUCUUGUACAAGAAUAAUGACUAGUAAUUGAUUGAUUCACUAUAUCAGUUAAUUAAUUUGGGUUGCUAUACAUAAAUUUUAAUAUUGAAAAAAAAUAUGUAUCUGAUAACACGAAAAAAUAUAAUCUAAACUUCAUCAUGUUCAGAGAAAUUUUGUUCAACAAAAAU